ACGGGAGGCGCAGUGGGGAAUAUUGGGCAAUGGGCGCAAGCCUGACCCAGCAAUGCCGCGUGAAGGAAGAAGGCUUUCGGGUUGUAAACUUCUUUUAAGUGGGACGAUAAUGACGGUACCACUUGAAUAAGCUCCGGCUAACUACGUGCCAGCAGCCGCGGUAAUACGUAGGGAGCAAGCGUUAUCCGGAUUUACUGGGUGUAAAGGGCGUGUAGGCGGGACAGCAAGUCAGAUGUGAAAGCACGAGGCUCAACUUCGUGUCUGCAUUUGAAACUGCUGUUCUUGAGUGCUGGAGAGGCUAACGGAACUCCUAGUGUAGCGGUGAAAUGCGUAGAUAUUAGGAAGAACACCAGUGGCGAAGGCGGUUAGCUGGACAGUAACUGACGCUGAGGCGCGAAAGCGUGGGUAGCAAACAGGAUUAGAUACCCUGGUA
rnacentral:rRNA from 1 species